CUACGGGGCGCUGCAGUGAGGAAUAUUGCACAAUGGGGGGAGCCCUGAUGCAGCAACGCCGCGUGGAGGAUGACGCAUCUCGGUGUGUAAACUCCUUUUAUAUGUCAAGAAAAUGACGGUAGCAUAUGAAUAAGCACCGGCUAACUCCGUGCCAGCAGCCGCGGUAAUACGGAGGGUGCAAGCGUUACUCGGAAUCACUGGGCGUAAAGGACGCGUAGGCGGGUUGGAAAGUCAGGUGUGAAAUCCUACAGCUUAACUGUAGAACUGCACUUGAAACUUCUAAUCUAGAGUAUGGGAGGGGGGGAUGGAAUUAGUGGUGUAGGGGUAAAAUCCGUAGAUAUCACUAGGAAUACCUAAAGCGAAGGCGAUCUCCUGGAACAUUACUGACGCUAAGGCGUGAAAGCGUGGGGAGCAAACAGGAUUAGAUACCCCGGUAGUC
rnacentral:rRNA from 1 species